rnacentral:rRNA from 1 species
AGGAGGGGGAUAACAGAGUGAAAACGCUGCUAAUACCCCAUAUGCUUUCGAGUGAAAUGGAUUUAUUCGCCUAAAGAGAAGCUCGCGGCUGAUUAGCUUGUUGGUAAGGUAAUGGCUUACCAAGGCGACGAUCAGUAUCUGGUUUGAGAGGACGAUCAGACACACUGGAACUGAGACACGGUCCAGACUCCUACGGGAGGCAGCAGUGGGGAAUUUUCCGCAAUGGGCGAAAGCCUGACGGAGCAAUACCGCGUGAGGGAUGACUGCCUAUGGGUUGUAAACCUCUUUUCUCAGGGAGGAAAUCAAUGACGUUACCUGAGGAAUAAGCAUCGGCUAACUCCGUGCCAGCAGCCGCGGUAAGACGGAGGAUGCAAGUGUUAUCCGGAAUCACUGGGCGUAAAGCGUCUGUAGGUGGCUUAACAAGUCAACUGUUAAAUCUUGAAGCUCAACUUC